AGUGAACGCUGGCGGUAGGCCUAACACAUGCAAGUCGAACGGCAGCACAGUAAGAGCUUGCUCUUACGGGUUGCGAGUGGCGGACGGGUGAGGAAUACAUCGGAAUCUACUUUUUCGUGGGGGAUAACGUAGGUAAACUUACGCUAAUACCGCAUACGACCUACGGGUGAAAGCAUGGGAUCUUCGGACCUUGCGCGAUUGAAUGAGCCGAUGUCGGAUUAGCUAGUUGGCGGGGUAAAGGCCCACCAAGGCGACGAUCCGUAGCUGGUCUGAGAGGAUGAUCAGCCACACUGGAACUGAGACACGGUCCAGACUCCUACGGGAGGCAGCAGUGGGGAAUAUUGGACAAUGGGCGCAAGCCUGAUCCAGCCAUACCGCGUGGGUGAAGAAGGCCUUCGGGUUGUAAAGCCCUUUUGUUGGGAAAGAAAAGCAGCAGGUUAAUACCCCGCUGUUCUGACGGUACCCAAAGAAUAAGCACCGGCUAACUUCGUG
rnacentral:rRNA from 1 species